rnacentral:rRNA from 1 species
AUACGGAGGAUCCAAGCGUUAUCCGGAAUUAUUGGGCGUAAAGAGUGAGCAGGCGGUUAAUUAAGUCUGAGGUUAAAGCGUGGGGCUCAACCCCAUAAAGCCUUGGAAACUGAUUGACUAGAGUACGGGAGAAGCGAAGGGAACUCCAUGUGUAGAGGUGAAAUGCGUAGAUAUAUGGAAGAACACCAGUGGCGAAGGUGCUUCACUAGCCCGAAACUGACGCUCAGUCACGAAAGCGUGGGUAGCAAAUAGGAUUAGAUACCCUAGUAGUCCACGCUGUAAACGAUGACAACUAAAUAUUGCCGCGAGGCAGUGUUGAAGCUAACGCAUUAAGUUGUCCGCCUGGGGAGUACGGUCGCAAGACUGAAACUUAAAGGAAUUGACGGGG